rnacentral:piRNA from 1 species
UGUCCUACAAGUGAACAUUGUUCAGUCGA